rnacentral:rRNA from 1 species
AAUAAUCGCUAGUGUUCGAAAGAACACUCACAAGAUUAAUAACGCGUUUACGAUAUGCUUUGGGGAGCUGUAAGUAAGCUUUGAUCCAGAGAUUUCCGAAUGGGGAAACCCAGCAUGAGUUAUGUCAUGUUAUCGAUAUGUGAAUACAUAGCAUAUCAGAAGGCACACCCGGAGAACUGAAACAUCUUAGUACCCGGAGGAAGAGAAAGAAAAUUCGAUUCCCUUAGUAGCGGCGAGCGAAACGGGAAGAGCCCAAACCAACAAGCUUGCUUGUUGGGGUUGUAGGACACUCUAUACGGAGUUACAAAGGACGACAUUAGACGAAUCAUCUGGAAAGAUGAAUCAAAGAAGGUAAUAAUCCUGUAGUCGAAAAUGUUGUCUCUCUUGAGUGGAUCCUGAGUACGACGGAGCACGUGAAAUUCCGUCGGAAUCUGGGAGGACCAUCUCCUAAGGCUAAAUACUCUCUAGUGACCGAUAGUGAACCAGUACCGUGAGGGAAAGGUGAAAAGCACCCCGGAAGGGGAGUGAAAUAGAACCUGAAACCGUGUGCUUACAAGUAGUCAGAGCCCGUUAAUGGGUGAUGGCGUGCCUUUUGUAGAAUGAACCGGCGAGUUACGAUUUGAUGCAAGGUUAAGCAGUAAAUGUGGAGCCGUAGCGAAAGCGAGUCUGAAUAGGGCGUUUAGUAUUUGGUCGUAGACCCGAAACCAGGUGAUCUACCCUUGGUCAGGUUGAAGUUCAGGUAACACUGAAUGGAGGACCGAACCGACUUACGUUGAAAAGUGAGCGGAUGAACUGAGGGUAGCGGAGAAAUUCCAAUCGAACCUGGAGAUAGCUGGUUCUCUCCGAAAUAGCUUUAGGGCUAGCCUCAAGUGAUGAUUAUUGGAGGUAGAGCACUGUUUGGACGAGGGGCCCCUCUCGGGUUACCGAAUUCAGACAAACUCCGAAUGCCAAUUAAUUUAACUUGGGAGUCAGAACAUGGGUGAUAAGGUCCRUGUUCGAAAGGGAAACAGCCCAGACCACCAGCUAAGGUCCCAAAAUAUAUGUUAAGUGGAAAAGGAUGUGGCGUUGCCCAGACAACUAGGAUGUUGGCUUAGAAGCAGCCAUCAUUUAAAGAGUGCGUAAUAGCUCACUAGUCGAGUGACACUGCGCCGAAAAUGUACCGGGGCUAAACAUAUUACCGAAGCUGUGGAUUGUCCUUUGGACAAUGGUAGGAGAGCGUUCUAAGGGCGUUGAAGCAUGAUCGYAAGGACAUGUGGAGCGCUUAGAAGUGAGAAUGCCGGUGUGAGUAGCGAAAGAYGGGUGAGAAUCCCGUCCACCGAUUGACUAAGGUUUCCAGAGGAAGGCUCGUCCGCUCUGGGUUAGUCGGGUCCUAAGCUGAGGCCGACAGGCGUAGGCGAUGGAUAACAGGUUGAUAUUCCUGUACCACCUAUAAUCGUUUUAAUCGAUGGGGGGACGCAGUAGGAUAGGCGAAGCGUGCGAUUGGAUUGCACGUCUAAGCAGUAAGGCUGAGUAUUAGGCAAAUCCGGUACUCGUUAAGGCUGAGCUGUGAUGGGGAGAAGACAUUGUGUCUUCGAGUCGUUGAUUUCACACUGCCGAGAAAAGCCUCUAGAUAGAAAAUAGGUGCCCGUACCGCAAACCGACACAGGUAGUCAAGAUGAGAAUUCUAAGGUGAGCGAGCGAACUCUCGUUAAGGAACUCGGCAAAAUGACCCCGUAACUUCGGGAGAAGGGGUGCUCUUUAGGGUUAACGCCCAGAAGAGCCGCAGUGAAUAGGCCCAAGCGACUGUUUAUCAAAAACACAGGUCUCUGCUAAACCGUAAGGUGAUGUAUAGGGGCUGACGCCUGCCCGGUGCUGGAAGGUUAAGAGGAGUGGUUAGCUUCUGCGAAGCUACGAAUCGAAGCCCCAGUAAACGGCGGCCGUAACUAUAACGGUCCUAAGGUAGCGAAAUUCCUUGUCGGGUAAGUUCCGACCCGCACGAAAGGCGUAACGAUUUGGGCACUGUCUCAACGAGAGACUCGGUGAAAUCAUAGUACCUGUGAAGAUGCAGGUUACCCGCGACAGGACGGAAAGACCCCGUGGAGCUUUACUGUAGCCUGAUAUUGAAAUUCGGCACAGCUUGUACAGGAUAGGUAGGAGCCUUUGAAACGUGAGCGCUAGCUUACGUGGAGGCGCUGGUGGGAUACUACCCUAGCUGUGUUGGCUUUCUAACCCGCACCACUUAUCGUGGUGGGAGACAGUGUCAGGCGGGCAGUUUGACUGGGGCGGUCGCCUCCUAAAAGGUAACGGAGGCGCUCAAAGGUU